CCAAGGAGUCUAACAUGUGCGCGAGUCAUGGGGUUCUACGAAACCUAAAGGCGCAAUGAAAGUGAAGGCCGACUUUUGUCGGUCGAGGUAGGAUCCCGCCCCUCGCGGGGUGGGCGCACUACCGGCCCGUCUCGAUAGGUGUUGUCCUAGAGGCGGAGCAAGAGCGUACACGUUGGGACCCGAAAGAUGGUGAACUAUGCCUGAGUAGGAUGAAGCCAGAGGAAACUCUGGUGGAGGUCCGUAGCGAUUCUGACGUGCAAAUCGAUCGUCAAACUUGGGUAUAGGGGCGAAAGACUAAUCGAACCAUCUA
rnacentral:rRNA from 1 species